AAAGCUUCUUUUUUUUAAACUAACAAAAAAAAUCUGUUUUUAUCAGUUUAAUAUCUGAGACGUCCCCUCUCUGGGGACCAUAUAUUCAAUUGAUUUUUGGAACAGUGAGAUGGAAUAGGGGCUUGCUCCGUCCACUCCACGCAUCGACCUGGUAUUGCAGUAUCUCCAGGAACAGUGCACCCCCU